rnacentral:rRNA from 1 species
UACACUCCUGCGGGAGGCAGCAGUGGGGAAUAUUGGACAAUGGGGGCAACCCUGAUCCAGCCAUGCCGCGUGAGUGAUGAAGGCCCUAGGGUUGUAAAGCUCUUUUGUGCGGGAAGAUAAUGACGGUACCGCAAGAAUAAGCCCCGGCUAACUUCGUGCCAGCAGCCGCGGUAAUACGAAGGGGGCUAGCGUUGCUCGGAAUCACUGGGCGUAAAGGGUGCGUAGGCGGGUCUUUAAGUCAGGGGUGAAAUCCUGGAGCUCAACUCCAGAACUGCCUUUGAUACUGAGGAUCUUGAGUCCGGAAGAGGUGAGUGGAACUGCGAGUGUAGAGGUGAAAUUCGUAGAUAUUCGCAAGAACACCAGUGGCGAAGGCGGCUCACUGGUCCGGUACUGACGCUGAGGCACGAAAGCGUGGGGAGCAAACAGGAUUAGAAACCCGUGUAGUCCCAUGAU